UUUGACUCUUGAUGACACUUUUCUUAUACAGUUAUCCCUGGCUGAUGGUGGGGACGCCAUGCCCUGCCGCCUGUGAUGAUUCCUUUUGUCUGAAGUCAAA
rnacentral:snoRNA from 1 species